rnacentral:rRNA from 1 species
UACGGAGGGUGCAAGCGUUAUCCGGAUUCACUGGGUUUAAAGGGUGCGUAGGUGGGUUGGUAAGUCAGUGGUGAAAUCUCCAGGCUUAACUUGGAAACUGGCCAUUGAUACUAUCAAUCUUGAAUACCGUGGAGGUCAGCGGAAUAUGUCAUGGUAGCGGAUGGAAAUGACUUAGAGAUGACAUAGAACACCAAUUGCGAAGGCAGCUGGCUACACGGAAUAUUGACACUGGAUGACACGAAAGCGUGGGGA